rnacentral:rRNA from 1 species
UACGUAGGGUCCAAGCGUUGUUCGGAAUUACUGGGCGUAAAGGGCUCGUAGGCGGCCAACUAAGUCAGACGUGAAAUCCCUCGGCUUAACCGGGGAACUGCGUCUGAUACUGGAUGGCUUGAGUUUGGGAGAGGGAUGCGGAAUUCCAGGUGUAGCGGUGAAAUGCGUAGAUAUCUGGAGGAACACCGGUGGCGAAGGCGGCAUCCUGGACCAACACUGACGCUGAGUGAGCGAAAGCCAGGGGAGCAAACGGGG